AUUUGUUGAGUCUAGUUGGUUAGGAUUUUUGGCUCUCACCCGAGGGACCAUGGUUCAAAUCCUGGUAAUGGAAUGUAUUUUUGGUUAUUUUUUCACAAACGACAUAAUUAUAUGAGGUAGACAUGAUAAAAAUAAUCAUAACAAAAUAAUCAAAAAUUUGUUGAGUCUAGUUGGUUAGGAUUUUUGGCUCUCACCCGAGGGACCAUGGUUCAAAUCCUGGUAAUGGAAUG
rnacentral:lncRNA from 1 species